rnacentral:rRNA from 1 species
CGCAAUGGGCGAAAGCCUGACGUAGCGACACCGCGUGAGCGAAGAAGCCUUUUGGGGUGUAAAGCUCUGUCAGCUGGGACGAAACAAAUGACGGUACCAGCAGAGGAAGCAUCGGAAAAAUACGUCCCAGCAGCCGCGGUAAGACGUAGGAUGCAAGCGUUGUCCGGAUUUAUUGGGCGUAAAGAGUUUGUAGGCGGUUUGUUAAGUCUGAUGUUAAAGAUCGGGGCUCAACCCCGGGACUGCAUCGGAUACUGGCAGACUGGAAUGCGGUAGAGGUAAGUGGAAUUUCUGGUGUAGCGGUGAAAUGCGUAGAUAUCAGGAAGAACACCGGUGGCGUAGGCGACUUACUGGGCCGUAACUGACUUUGAGGCACGAAAGCCA